UAUGCUAGGGUUGCCCCUACAAGAUAAAGAAAAGAGCAAGCGAAACAAAAUACACAACAAGGCAGAACUAACUACCUCUCCAAAUUAACGGGUCCUUUACAAUGAGGCGAAGCAAUUUAUGUGUUAAGUGACAGGUGCAAGAUGGACCACUACUUCUUAAAAUCUAUAUCUAAAACACUUCCCUAAGACCUAAUAUGGUAUCAUGCUCAUGCACCUAAACUAUAGGUAAGACCAUCUUUGGUUUUAAACACACGGAUUAAGCUAUUCGAAUUCUAUUGUCUACUCCACUAAGCUUGCAUACUAAUAAGUCCAAUCUGAUGUUAAAAACAGUUAGAUCGGUUUAUUAUCUAACGCACUAGUAACAGUUAUCAAACUAUCAAUUUCAUCUGGAAAUUAUAAGGGAUUCAAGAAGGGUAAAACGUAAUCGGAAGUAUAAGGGAAGGGUGGAACACAAACUUACAAGAUAAGUAGGAUUCAUCUUUGAUUUCAAAGUAGCUUCAACCACUUCCUUUGUCACGCCCAUCUCUCUCUCUUCUUGGUGUCGUUCGGUAACCUGGAAG